AGCGAACGCUGGCGGCAGGCCUAACACAUGCAAGUCGAACGAACCUUUCGGGGUUAGUGGCGGACGGGUGAGGAACACGUGGGAACGUGCCCUUAGGUACGGAAUAACUAAGGGAAACUUGUGCUAAUACCGAAUGUGCCCUUCGGGGGAAAGAUUUAUCGCCUUUAGAGCGGCCGGCGUCGGAUUAGCUAGUUGGGUGAGGUAAUGGCGCACCAAGGCGACGUUCAGUAGUUGGUCUGAGAGGAUGAUCAGCCACAUUGGGGCUGAGACACGGCCGAAACUCCUACGGGAUGCAGCAGUGGGUAAUCUAGCGCAAUGGGGGAAGGGCUGACGCAGCCAUGCCGGGUGAAUGAUGAAGGUCGUAGGAUUGUAAAAUUCUUUCAACGGGGACGAUAAUGACGGUACCCGGAGAAGAAGCCCCGGCUAACUUCGUG
rnacentral:rRNA from 1 species